rnacentral:rRNA from 1 species
GGAGGGUGCGAGCGUUAAUCGGAAUUACUGGGCGUAAAGCGCGCGUAGGCGGUUUGUUAAGUCAGCUGUGAAAGCCCCGGGCUCAACCUGGGAACUGCAGUUGAUACUGGCCGACUAGAGUACGAGAGAGGGAGGUAGAAUUCCAUGUGUAGCGGUGAAAUGCGUAGAUAUAUGGAGGAAUACCAGUGGCGAAGGCGGCCUCCUGGCUCGAUACUGACGCUGAGGUGCGAAAGCGUGGGGAUCAAACAGGAUUAGAUACCCUGGUAGUCCACGCCGUAAACGAUGUCUACUAGCCGUUGGGAGACUUGAUUUCUUAGUGGCGCAGCUAACGCAAUAAGUAGACCGCCUGGGGAGUACGGCCGCAAGGUUA